rnacentral:lncRNA from 1 species
CAGAUAAACUCCAUGCCAGUUUGGAGACAUUGCAGAUGCCAACCCAGGAAUUUGAGUUCUGGACCCAUCUUUAAUACUCCCUGCAAAACAUUGCUUUCUGUUUGCUAGAUGAAGAGGAUAACUUAUUCGCACCCCCCAAGCUGACCGACGAGGACUUCUCGCCAUUUGGCUCUGGAGGCGGCCUGUUCAGUGGGGGCAAGGGGCUCUUUGAUGAUGAGGACGAGGAGAGUGACCUCUUCACGGAAGCCCCCCAGGAUCAGCAAGCUGGAGCCUCUGUUAAGGAGGGUGAGCUGGGGCUGGGCAGCUGCGUCUCAGUGUGCAGAGUUCCAAAACUGUCUUUCUCACUAGGGGAUGGAACCCUGAGGUUGUUCCCAAGCCUUGUUUCUGUGUUAAGCAGGAAGCUAUUGUUUUUACUGUGGUCCAGUUGAAAGUAAUUCAUCUUCACUAAUUCAUGUCUUGGAAAACACAGUACCAUCUGUAAACCCAUACCACAGUCUUGCCUCUUUGUUAGGAGAGAACUCAUAAAAAGUCAAACAAGAAAAGUACCCUAGAGCAAUGUUGAGGAUGGUUUUCAUUGAAUGAAGUUUAAUUUAAAGAAACAUUUUUAACAUUCUGUAUAUAAGUUGGAGACCAGUAAUUCCCCAACCCAGUGUGCAUUAAAAUCAUCUGUGCAGGUUUUGUUUUUGUUUUUGUUUUUAUAUUUUUAGUAGAGACGGCGU